rnacentral:lncRNA from 1 species
GGUAAAUAUUGUAAUUUAUUAAUCUGCAGAGAUCGGUUUGCUGACCCAGAAAGAAUGUGUUUCCAACUUGUUUCUGGAAUGAUCUGUAAAUAAAUCAGACAAUUUAUGUAUUUCUUUUCUGUAGGAAGAGACAAAGAAGCUCUAAUGAGACCAACCUGUUCCAGCACCCCAAGCGGAGCACCCCAAGCUGCAUGUGCCGGGAGAUGAAGGUGCGUGUUUCGGUUAUAGAUGGGUAUUCACAUUAAUAAUCAGAUCUCCGAGACUGAUCAGUUAUUGGUAACAUGGGGAUCAUGGGUAGCAGAUAUGACAGAAUUAUCUAUUUUUAGGAUAAACUGUCGAUAGAAUGGAUUAUCAUUUUUCAGAACGUGAACAGGAGGUGAUUAAAGGAACACAAGCAUGUAUUGCUGACCCUAUAGUGUUAAAACCACCAUAUGGCCCCUCUUGCCUCUAAAUAUUGUGAAAUCUUACUUGUAUUUAAGUCUGCAGCUGCUGCCUCUGCUCCUCAUCUACCUGCUGACAUCAUCAGAAGUGAUUCUCUCAGCCUAUCACAAUGCUUCCUCAUAGGAUUGGCUGAGACUGCCAAGGAGGCAGAUCAGGGGCAGAGCAAGCACAAGCCAAAUACAGUCCUGGCCAAUCAGCAUCUCCUCAUAGAGGUACACUAAAUCAAUGCAUUUUUAUGAGGAAAGUUCAGUGUCUGCAUGCAGAGGGUGGAGACACCGACUGUCAGUCACACUGUGCAGCACUGCCCCAGAAAGCACCUCUGGCAGCCAUCUGAGGAGUGGCCAGUGAAGUUAUCACUAGGCUGUAAUGUAAACACUGCAUUUUCUCUGAAAAGACAGUGCUUACAGCAAAAAGCCUGAAGGUAAUGAUUCUACUCACAAGAACAAAUACAUUAAAGCGGCACUGUCAUGCCGAACUUACCUUUCCUCAAUCUCUUCCUCUUCUCCCCCUCUCUCAGGAUCUGUUAUUCUUUUCUUCCUGUCUUCUUUAGUUUUCUUUAAAAUCAUAAGACAAAGUAGGGACUCUUUGCCUUAUGGGGGAUUCCUCCGCUUGACCAGCGGAGGAGCAAAGUGUGCUUCAUUUCCGCUGGUCAGAGCAAUUUUCCCAUGAUCCCUAGCUUUCCUCUGUGAUCCCACAAUGGUUCCUGUCACUUUACACUAAACUGCCGAAUUGCGUUCUAACUGAAUAACAACAGUCUGUUCGUUUCUUUUACACCUGAGCGGUGGGUGGGGGCCCUAAUAAAACAAUAAGGGGGGGGACCUACUGUCCUCCCCCCCCUGGCCCCCACCCCUGAGCGGUGGGUGGGGGCCCUAAAUGAAACACCCCCCCCCAAUCAAGGUGACUAGGGGUCCCAAGCCCCUAGUCACCAACCCCCCACCCAAAAAAACCUAUCCCCUACCUACCCCCCUCACCCUACAAAUAGUGAGGGGGGAAUAAAAUAACUAACCUGUAAAAAAAAAAAAAAUUAAACUUACCAUUUGACGUCUUCUUUUUUCUAAAAUCUUCUUUCUUCAGCCCCCCAAAAAGGCCAAAUAAAAAUCCAUUACACCCGUCAGACUUAAAAAAAAAAAAAAAAAAAACGCCCCCACUCAUCGUUGUGGGAGGGACAGUAGGCCCCCCCUUAUUAGGUUUUAUUAGGCUCCCCCACCACCGCCAGGGUAUUGUGGGGGGAGAGGACAGUAGUGUCCCCCUUAUUAGUUUUAUUAGCCCCACCCACCGCCAGGGAAUGGGGGAGGACAUGCAGGUCCCCAUAUUGUUUUUAUUAGGGCCACCGCCAGGGUGGGUUGUGGGAGACAGUAGGUCCCCCCUUAUUGUUUUAUUAGCUCUCAAAUUCACCGCUUUGUAAUGGGGAGGGACAGUAGGCCUCCUUAUUGUUUUACUGGGGCCCCCACCCAUCAAGCAGGUGGGGGAGGACAGUAUGCCCCCCCCCCUUAUUGUUUUAUUAGGGCCCCCACCCACCGCUCAGGGGUGGAGGCCAGGGGGGGGAGGACAGUAGGUCCCCCCCCCUUAAUAUUUUACUGGGGCCCCCAUCCACCGCGCAGGGGUGGGGGCGGGGGGAGGAUAGUAGGUCCCCCCCUUAUGGUUUUAUUAGGGCCCCCACCCACCGCGCAGGGGUGGGGGCCAGGGGGGGGAGGACAGUAGGUCCCCCCCCUUAUGGUUUUAUUAGGGCCCCCACCCACCGCGCAGGGGUGGGGGCCAGGGGGGGAGGACAGUAGGUCCCCCCCCCCAUUAUCUUCAUGGCCCCCACCCGCCGCACAAUAGGUCCGCCCCCCCUUAUUGUAAUUUAUGUCUUUUUUUUCAACAGUGAGCAGCCAUAGGCUGCUCACUGUUUAGUAGACAUGCCCCUACUCGCGGUAUAGUGAGUAGGGGCAUUUGGGAGAUUUAAAUCUCUCUUGUGCUUAUAUGGGGGUCAUAUUGACCCCCAUAGAGUGAGAGGGGGUACUGGGGGGCUUAUGAAGUGGUGGGGAGCACUGCUCCCUGCCGCUUCUAUAGUUACAUAUUACAAGGAGGGAGCUGCACGCCGGUAGCUCCCUCCUUGUAAUAAACUGCACGAACAAACAUACACUGAUACAUUGUGUUUGUUUGUUCGGCUGAUCUUUCUAUUCACUCAUUCGUCUGUCUGAUGAAUGAGUGAAUAGAUGAAAUUCCCGUUCGCAUGUCCAGGUGUUUCACUGGGCAUGUGCGGGAAUCUCACAGUCUGCCUAGUGUGGGCUGAUGACGUGUCCCUGAGGGACUUCAUCUACCCACACAAAGAUGGCGGCGCCCUGAAUCAAGAUCGGGGCAGAAAAUAAGGAUUAAAAAAUAGGUAAUGUGGGGGGCUUAGGGGCAUUUGGGGGUGACUAGUGGGUCAAUUGGAUGUAGUGGAGGCGGGAGGGGGGUUAAAAGAAAAACGGGUUUCGGCAUGACAGUGCCGCUUUAAGCUGUAGUUCUUCUGGAGAUUAUAGUGUCCAUUUAAUGUAGUUAUGUAAUGCCACCUGUUUCUUUAUUAUAAAUUUAGGUACACUGACAUUUUUCAAGAAAUUGUUUACACACCUUCCCCCCUUUCUGACUGCCAUCUUUGCACACCUUUUGUCAGAUCUAUGAUGCCCACUAUUUUGUAAGGGUCUGUCACUUUUCAAAAUUGUGUGGAGUUGCAAAAUUGUGAGCGCAGGCAAUAUAGACAUUAUAGAAACAUAGAAUGUGACGGCAGAUAAAAACCAUUCAGCCCAUCUAGUCUGCCCAAUUUUCUAAAUACUUUCAUUAGUCCCUAGCCUUAUCUUAUAGUUAGGAUAGCCUUAUGCCUAUCCCACGCAUGCUUAAACUCCUUUACUGUGUUAACCUCUACCACUUCAGCUGGAAGGCUAUUCCAUGCAUCCACUACCCUCUCAGUAAAGUAAUACUUCCUGAUAUUAUUUUUAAACCUUUGUCCCUCUAAUUUAAGACUAUGUCCUCUUGUUGUGGUAGUUUUUCUUCUUUUAAAUAUAGUCUCCUCCUUUACUGUGUUGAUUCCCUUUAUAUAUUUAAAUGUUUCUAUCAUAUCCCCCCUGUCUCGUCUUUCCUCCAAGCUAUACAUGUUAAGAUCCUUUAACCUUUCCUGGUAAGUUUUAUCCCGCAAUCCAUAAACCAGUUUAGUAGCCCUUCUCUGAACCCUCUCUAAGGUAUCAAUAUCCUUCUGAAGAUACGGUCUCCAUUACUGUGUACAAUACUCCAAGUGAGGUCUCACCAGUGUUCUGUACAAUGGCAUGAGCACUUCCCUCUUUCUACUGCUAAUAUCUCUCCCUAUACAACCAAGCAUUCUGACCAAAGAAGCAUGAAUAGGGAGAAGGUAAGGUAGUCAAGUGAUGUCCUCAGUAAAAAUGAGAGAGAACAGAAAUAUUAAGAAGCCAUUUUUAUUUUACUUGUUGCUUUACACAUCUGUUCCAGCACACCACAGCGCCUGUUCCUUUUACCUAUAUCCUUAUGCCAUGGCUUUUGUCCCCGACCACAAAUACAUAAUUGAACAUUGGAGUUUUGACUUAAGAGGUACUUCUUCAUGGGAUGCUGGAAAUGGAUCAAUGUUAUUACUGUUACCUUUUCCCAAGUUUUGGAAAUAUACCUGUCUUGAUCAUUCCCCCGUUAGCAUUGAUGGGUCAGAUUAGAAUUCUUUAAUUAAACGUUAUUGUAAUGAUAUAGCACCGUGCCAGAGCUUAGCCAGCACCAGAUGUAGUUUGUUGUGUCUGGUUAUAGGUUUUAAUAUUUAUUUUUCUCUCCAGUUUUCACAUAGCACAAGUACAAAUGCCUUAGAAACUCGGGAUGUGACCCCACAGCAUAACUCUUCAUCAGAGCCACCUUACCAUGCUCAGAGUUAUUACGUCCACAUCAAUACGAUGCUGAAGGAAGCUCAUUUUUACUGCCUGCAACGUCGUCAUUACAUCUCUAAGGACUGCCACCAAUAAAUGCUACCAGUACAUGGAAAGGUUUGAGGUGCGUUUUCAAAUAGUUCUUUGGUUCUCUACAAACUUGAAGUAAAAAAAAUAAAAAUAAAAUGGCAGUUUUGUUCUUUUUAAAUAUAUGAAAAAGGUGUUAAGCCUGCAGUUGUGAGAG